AUUGAACGCUGGCGGAAUGCUUUACACAUGCAAGUCGAACGGUAGAGGGGGCAACCCCUUGAGAGUGGCGAACGGGUGAGUAAUAUAUCGGAACGUGCCCAGUCGUGGGGGAUAACGUAGCGAAAGUUACGCUAAUACCGCAUACGAUCUAAGGAUGAAAGCGGGGGACCGUAAGGCCUCGCGCGAUUGGAGCGGCCGAUAUCAGAUUAGGUAGUUGGUGGGGUAAAGGCUCACCAAGCCAACGAUCUGUAGCUGGUCUGAGAGGACGACCAGCCACACUGGAACUGAGACACGGUCCAGACUCCUACGGGAGGCAGCAGUGGGGAAUUUUGGACAAUGGACGCAAGUCUGAUCCAGCCAUUCCGCGUGCAGGAUGAAGGCCCUCGGGUUGUAAACUGCUUUUGUACGGAACGAAAAGGUCUCUCUUAAUACGGGGGGCUCAUGACGGUACCGUAAGAAUAAGCACCGGCUAACUACGUGCCAGCAGCCGCGGUAAUACGUAGGGUGCAAGCGUUAAUCGGAAUUACUGGGCGUAAAGCGUGCGCAGGCGGUUAUGUAAGACAGAGGUGAAAUCCCCGGGCUCAACCUGGGAACUGCCUUUGUGACUGCAUAGCUAGAGUACGGUAGAGGGGGAUGGAAUUCCGCGU
rnacentral:rRNA from 1 species